AAUAGAUACCCCGGUAGUCCACGCCCUAAACGAUGCAUAUUUGGUGUAGGUCAUUCAGUUGAUCUGUGCCGGAGCUAACGCGUUAAAUAUGCCGCCUGGGGAGUACAGUCGCAAGGCUGAAACUCAAAGGAAUUGACGGGGGCCCGCACAAGCGGUGGAGCAUGUGGUUCAAUUCGACGCAACGCGAAGAACCUUACCUGGGCUCGAACGGCUGGUCAACGAUCGUGGAAACACGGUUACUCCGCAAGGAGGUCCAGUCGAGGUGCUGCAUGGCUGUCGUCAGCUCGUGUCGUGAGAUGUUGGGUUAAGUCCCGCAACGAGCGCAACCCUUGUCCUGUGUUGCCAUCCCGCAAGGGGGGACUCGCAGGAGACCGCCAGCGAUAAGCUGGAGGAAGGUGGGGAUGACGUCAAGUCCUCAUGGCCUUUAUGUCCAGGGCUACACACGUGCUACAAUGGCCGGUACAAAGCGCAGCUAAGUCGCGAGACGGAGCCAAUCGCAAAAAACCGGUCUCAGUUCGGAUUGCG
rnacentral:rRNA from 1 species